GACGAACGCUGGCGGCGUGCUUAACACAUGCAAGUCGAACGGAAAGGCCCUGCUUGCAGGGUACUCGAGUGGCGAACGGGUGAGUAACACGUGGGUGAUCUGCCCUGCACUUCGGGAUAAGCCUGGGAAACUGGGUGUAAUACCGGAUAGGAGACAUUUUUAGUGUGAUGGUUGGAAAGUUUUUUCGGUGUUGGAUGAGCUCGCGGCCUAUCGGCUUGUUGGUGGGGUAAUGGCCUACCGAGGCGGCGAAGGGUAGCCAGCCUGUGGGGGUGGACGGCCACAUAGGGACUGACGGACGGCCCAGGCUCCUACUGGUGGCAGCAGUGGGGAAUAUUGCCCAAGGGGCGCAAGCCUGAUGCAGCGACGCCGCGUGUGGGAUGACGGCCUUCGUGUUGUAAACUCCUUUCGCUAGGGACGAAGCUUUUUGUGACGGUACCUAGAUAAGAAGCACCGGCUAACUACGUG
rnacentral:rRNA from 1 species